rnacentral:lncRNA from 1 species
AGCAGUGGAGCUUUUAGCAGCGAUGGGGGGGAUGCUGGAGCGCCCUUCGUUUUCUCACCUGCGCAAUCGUUUCGGUUUUGAGCUGGCAGCGUUUAUCAUCCUCUCGCACACACUUAGGGAAUGUCAUCGCAAAGAAUCUCGAGAGAUUUGACUCAAAUGAAGAGAAAGCUAGGAGACACCAGGUCCUCUAGAGCAGCCAAUGUCAGGUCCUUCAUUUCCCUGGAUGCUAUAGCGGAUUGGAGUAGAAGUACAAAAUGAGCUGGACCCCAGCCUGAGUUUAGGAGAUGGAUUCCCAGGCAUAGAGAAGCAGAGCAGAAAUAAGGUAGAAGACGGGUAUUGGGAACAGUGGUAAAUGUCAAACUCUAAGCCAGCCAGCCAUGGCCAUCCAAUUCCAAGACUGGACCGAUGAUGGAGACCACUCCCAGUGACCCCAAUCUGAAUACUUCUGGAGAGACAGUAGCCGCCUUCCUUAGUCUGUUUCCCCACCUACGUUGGCAGUGUCAUCCAAUAUUGAGUAAAACUCCCUAAUCC